GGCCCGUUCGUCUAGUGGUCAAGGAUACCUGGUUCUCAGCCAGGGGAUCAGGGGUUCGAAUCCCCUACGGGCUACCA
rnacentral:tRNA from 1 species